rfam:Brassica napus, WGS project CCCW01000000 data, contig: 1246
GGAAUAUAAAAACCGUCUCUUAACUUUUAACUAAAAAAACUAAGAACCGGUUUUUAGAUAUUUAAAAACCGGUUCUUAGCUUUUUUAUUUAAAAAUUAAGAGACGGUUUCUUAUAUUCC